rnacentral:tRNA from 1 species
GCGAGGGUUGCCGAGCCAGGUCAAAGGCGAUGGAUUUAGGGUCCAUUCUCGCAGGAGUUCGAGCGUUCGAAUCGCUCCCCUCGCA